rnacentral:rRNA from 1 species
ACGCACGCUGGCGGCGUGCUUAACACAUGCAAGUCGAACGAAGAGCGCCGGAAGCUUGCUUCUAUCAAUCUUAGUGGCGAACGGGUGAGUAACGCGUAAUCAACCUGCCCUUCAGAGGGGGACAACAGUUGGAAACGACUGCUAAUACCGCAUACGAUCUAACCUCGGCAUCGAGGAUAGAUGAAAGGUGGCCUCUACAUGUAAGCUAUCACUGAAGGAGGGGAUUGCGUCUGAUUAGCUAGUUGGAGGGGUAACGGCCCACCAAGGCGAUGAUCAGUAGCCGGUCUGAGAGGAUGAACGGCCACAUUGGGACUGAGACACGGCCCAGACUCCUACGGGAGGCAGCAGUGGGGAAUCUUCCGCAAUGGACGAAAGUCUGACGGAGCAACGCCGCGUGAGUGAUGACGGCCUUCGGGUUGUAAAGCUCUGUUAAUCGGGACGAAAGGCCUUCUUGCGAAUAGUGAGAAGGAUUGACGGUACCGGAAUAGAAAGCCACGGCUAACUACGUG